rnacentral:rRNA from 1 species
UACAGAGACUGCAAGCGUUAUUCGGAUUCACUGGGCGUAAAGGGUGCGCAGGCGGCCGUGUGUGUCAGGUGUGAAAGCCCGGGGCUUAACCCCGGAAUUGCGCCUGAAACUACAUGGCUAGAGCAUUGGAGAGGGUAGCGGAAUUCACGGUGUAGCAGUGAAAUGCGUAGAUAUCGUGAGGAACACCGGUGGCGAAGGCGGCAUCCUGGACCAAUACUGACGCUGAGACGCGAAAGCGUGGGGAGCAAACAGG